GCGCCCAUAGCUCAACUGGAUAGAGCGUCUGGCUACGAACCAGAAGGUUAUGGGUUCAACUCCUGUUGGGCGCGCCA
rnacentral:tRNA from 1 species